GAUGAACGCUGGCGGCGUGCCUAAUACAUGCAAGUCGAGCGAACGGACGAGAAGCUUGCUUCUCUGAUGUUAGCGGCGGACGGGUGAGUAACACGUGGAUAACCUACCUAUAAGACUGGGAUAACUUGGGAAACCGGAGCUAAUACCGGAUAAUAUUUUGAACCGCAUGGUUCAAAAGUGAAAGACGGUCUUGCUGUCACUUAUAGAUGGAUCCGCGCUGCAUUAGCUAGUUGGUAAGGUAACGGCUUACCAAGGCAACGAUGCAUAGCCGACCUGAGAGGGUGAUCGGCCACACUGGAACUGAGACACGGUCCAGACUCCUACGGGAGGCAGCAGUAGGGAAUCUUCCGCAAUGGGCGAAAGCCUGACGGAGCAACGCCGCGUGAGUGAUGAAGGUCUUCGGAUCGUAAAACUCUGUUAUUAGGGAAGAACAUAUGUGUAAGUAACUGUGCACAUCUUGACGGUACCUAAUCAGAAAGCCACGGCUAACUACGUG
rnacentral:rRNA from 1 species